rnacentral:rRNA from 1 species
UACGGAGGGUGCAAUCGUUGUUCGGAAUCACUGGGCGUAAAGCGCGUGUAGGCGGCCUCUUAAGUCUGGUGUGAAAGCCCGGGGCUCACCCCCCGGAAGGGCACUGGAUACUGGGAGGCUAGAGUACCGGAGAGGAGGGUGGAAUUCCUGGUGUAGCGGUGAAAUGCGUAGAUAUCAGGAGGAACACCGGUGGCGAAGGCGGCCCUCUGGACGGCUACUGACGCUGAGACGCGAAAGCGUGGGGAGAAAACAGG